rnacentral:rRNA from 1 species
UACGUAGGUGGCAAGCGUUGUUCGGAAUUAUUGGGCGUAAAGGGCGCGUAGGCGGUUUGCUAAGUCAGUUGUGAAAGCCCGGGGCUCAACCCCGGAGAGUCGGCUGAUACUGGUGGACUAGAGUACGGAAGAGGUAGCUGGAAUUCCCGGUGUAGCGGUGAAAUGCGUAGAUAUUGGGAAGAACACCGGUGGCGAAGGCGGCGCUCUGGACCGAGACUGACGCUGAGGCGCGAAAGCGUGGGGAGCAAACAGG